rnacentral:lncRNA from 1 species
CGGUUGGUAUCCAGUUUAUAGGGGUAGCUGGUUUUAUAAGGUUACCUGACCGUUUAUUUACACACACACCGGCAGGGACUUGUUAGUUUGGCCGGUAUGAAUGGAGAACCGGUAUUUAGAGGGACCGGUUUAGAGAAUUUUCACUGUAAUUAUAUUAUACUUACGUUCCUUCUGCCCAUUUACCACCUUUUAUUCUGAAAAAAAGAUUU